AAUUUCCCAGAUAGCCAUGGCACGUCUAAGUACAAACUAAAUGAUGGUGAAACUGCAAAUGGGCUCAUUACAACGGUUAUGAUGUACCCGGGAGUUCCGAUGGAUAUUUCCAGUAACACUAGAACUAAUACAUGUCCCUGCGUUUAUUAGUUUCGCACAGUCCGUCGCUGAGUCAUGGUAAACAGUUGAUCGACUCGACGUCCCGGAACAGUUUCCGCCCCAUCAGCUUCGAUGGUUGGGUAUUGGCCUACCAUUGCAACAACGGGUAACGAGGAAUUAGGGUUUGAUUUCGGAGAGGGAGCCUGAGAAACGGCUACCACAUCUACGGAUGGCAGCAGGCGCGCAAAUUACCCAAUGCAGACACUGUGAGGUAGUGACGAGAAAUAAUAAAGCGGGACUUCUGUUUCGCUAUUAUAAUGAGGAAUAACCAAAGGUCAUUCCGAUUAGCAACUGAUGGGAAAGUCUGGUGCCAGCAGCCGCGGUAAUACCAGCGUCAGUAG
rnacentral:rRNA from 1 species